AGAGUUUGAUCAUGGCUCAGGACGAACGCUGGCGGCGUGCCUAAUGCACGCAAGUCGAGCGGGCUACGAUCUUCGGAUUGUAGCUUAGCGGCGAACGGGUGAGUAACACGUAGGUGAUCUACCCUUCAGAGGAGGACAACCUCAGGAAACUGAGGCUAAACCUUCAUACGUUCACUGGUAGGGAUACUGGUGAAGAAAGAGUUACCUUAGUGGUAGCUGCUGAAGGAUGAGCCUGCGGCCCAUCAGGUAGUUGGUGAGGUAACGGCUCACCAAGCCGAAGACGGGUAACCGGUCUGAGAGGAUGUCCGGUCACACUGGGACUGAGACACGGCCCAGACUCCUACGGGAGGCAGCAGCAGGGAAUCUUGGGCAAUGGGCGAAAGCCUGACCCAGCGACGCCGCGUGGAGGAAGAAGUCCUUCGGGGCGUAAACUCCUGGACUGGGGGACGAGGAAGGACGGUACCCCAGUAGAAAGGGACGGCUAACUACGUGCCAGCAGCCGCGGUAAAACGUAGGUCCCGAGCGUUGUUCGGAUUCACUGGGUGUAAAGGGCGCGUAGGUGGUUGUCUGUGUCUCAUGUGAAAACUCAGGGCUCAACUCUGAGAUUGCGUGGGAAACUAGGCAGCUAGAGGACGGUAGAGGGGAGUGGAAUUCCCGGUGUAGCGGUAAAAUGCGUAGAUAUCGGGAGGAACACCGGUGGCGAAGGCGGCUCUCUGGGCCGAUCCUGACGCUGAGGCGCGAAAGCUAGGGGAGCGAACCGGAUUAGAUACCCGGGUAGUCCUAGCCGUAAACGAUGGGUGCUAGGUGUUGGGGGGUAAAGACCCUUCAGUGCCGAAGCCAACGCGAUAAGCAUCCCACCUGGGGAGUACGGCCGCAAGGUUGAAACUCAAAUGAAUUGACGG
rnacentral:rRNA from 1 species